AUUGAACGCUGGCGGCAGGCCUAACACAUGCAAGUCGAACGAGUGGCGGACGGGUGAGUAAUGUCUGGGAAACUGCCUGAUGGAGGGGGAUAACUACUGGAAACGGUAGCUAAUACCGCAUACCAUCAGAUGUGCCCAGAUGGGAUUAGCUAGUUGGUGGGGUAACGGCUCACCAAGGCGACGAUCCCUAGCUGGUCGGAGAGGAUGACGAGCCACACGGGAAUGGAGAACCGGCCAAGCCUCUUACGGGAGGCAGCAGUGGGGAAUAUUGCACAAUGGGCGCAAGCCUGAUGCAGCCCUGCCGGGUGUAUGAAGAAGGCCUUCGGGUUGUAAAGUACUUUCAGCGGGGAGGCGUUACCCGAAGAAGAAGCACCGGCUAACUCCGUGCCAGCAGCCGCGGUAAUUC
rnacentral:rRNA from 1 species